UGCAUGUGGCUCAGUUCUUAGAGCAUUGUGCAAAUAACGCAAAGCUCAUGGGUUAAAAUCCCAGGGCAAGCAA